AUUGAACGCUGGCGGAAUGCUUUACACAUGCAAGUCGAACGGCAGCACGGACUUCGGUCUGGUGGCGAGUGGCGAACGGGUGAGUAAUGUAUCGGAACGUGCCCAGUCGUGGGGGAUAACGUCGUGAAAAUUACGCUAAUACCGCAUACGAUCGAUGAAUGAAAGCGGGGGAUCGCAAGACCUCGCGCGGUUGUAUCGGCCGAGAUCAGAUUAGGUAGUUGGUGGGGUAAAGGCCCACCAAGCCAACGAUCUGUAGCUUGUCUGAGAGGACGACCAGGCACACUGGAACUGAGACACGGUCCAGACUCCUACGGGAGGCAGCAGUGGGGAACUUUGGACAAUGGGCGAAAGCCUGAUCCAGCCAUUCCGCGUGCAGGAUGAAGGCCCUCGGGUUGUAAACUGCUUUUGUACAGGACGAAAAGGUUUCUACUAAUACUAGGAGCUCAUGACGGUACUGUAAGAAUAAGCACCGGCUAACUACGUGCCAGCCGCCGCUGUAA
rnacentral:rRNA from 1 species